AAUAGAUACCCCGGUAGUCCACGCCGUAAACGAUGAGUGCUAAGUGUUAGGGGGGUUUCCGCCCCUUAGUGCUGCAGCUAACGCAUUAAGCACUCCGCCUGGGGAGUACGGUCGCAAGACUGAAACUCAAAGGAAUUGACGGGGGGCCCGCACAAGCGGUGGAGCAUGUGGUUUAAUUCGAAGCAACGCGAAGAACCUUACCAGGUCUUGACAUCCCGUUGACCACUGUAGAGAUAUAGUUUCCCCCUUCGGGGGCAACGGUGACAGGUGGUGCAUGGUUGUCGUCAGCUCGUGUCGUGAGAUGUUGGGUUAAGUCCCGCAACGAGCGCAACCCUUGAUCUUAGUUGCCAUCAUUUAGUUGGGCACUCUAAGGUGACUGCCGGUGACAAACCGGAGGAAGGUGGGGAUGACGUCAAAUCAUCAUGCCCCUUAUGACCUGGGCUACACACGUGCUACAAUGGACGAUACAAACGGUUGCCAACUCGCGAGAGGGAGCUAAUCCGAUAAAGUCGUUCUCAGUUCGGAUUGUAGGCUGCAACUCGCCUA
rnacentral:rRNA from 1 species